rnacentral:rRNA from 1 species
AUCCCUGACAGUCCUGGAAACAGGAUCCUUUCUUCGGGAAACAGGGAGACAGGUGCUGCAUGGCUGUCGUCAGCUCGUGUCGUGAGAUGUUGGUUAAGUCCCGCAACGAGCGCAACCCCUAUUAUUAGUUGCCAUCGGUUCGGCCGGGCACUCUAAUGAUACUGCCUCGGGUUAAACGGGGAGGAAGGUGGGAUGACGUCAAGUCCUCAUGGCCUCUAUGUCCAGGGCUACACACGUGCUACAAUGGGCUGUACAAAGGGCAGCAAUCCCGCGAGGGUGAGCCAAUCCCAUAAAGCCAGUCGUAGUCCGGAUCGCAGUUUGCAACUCGACUGCGUGAAGUCGGAAUCGCUAGUAAUCGCGGAUCAGCAUGUCGCGGUGAAUACGUUCCCGGGUCUU